rnacentral:miRNA from 1 species
UCAUAAUGGUCAGUGGUCUCGUCUG